CUCUUGAGGAAUUUCUAAUUAAGGACUUCUUGCCAAAGGCACAUCUCCAAGUUGACAUGCCUCAUGACCUAGGUGAAAACAAGCAAUUCUUGUGGCCAGGAGGAGAAAAGAAAAUAAUUGCUCGGGAUCUGCAAUCAAAUGCAUCAGAGCGUUUUUAGAAGACUGAUCCUCAGCAAGAACAGUG
rnacentral:lncRNA from 9 species